rnacentral:rRNA from 1 species
UACGGAGGGGGCUAGCGUUGUUCGGAAUUACUGGGCGUAAAGCGCGCGUAGGCGGACCUGCAAGUCGGGGGUGAAAGCCCGAGGCUCAACCUCGGAACUGCCUUCGAUACUGCGGGUCUCGAGUCCGGGAGAGGUGAGUGGAAUUCCUAGUGUAGAGGUGAAAUUCGUAGAUAUUAGGAAGAACACCAGUGGCGAAGGCGGCUCACUGGCCCGGUACUGACGCUGAGGCGCGAAAGCGUGGGAAGCAAACAGG